UGGGGAAUUUUGGACAAUGGGCGCAAGCCUGAUCCAGCCAUGCCGCGUGCGGGAAGAAGGCCUUCGGGUUGCAAUCAGCGUUUUGUCAGGGAAGAAAUCUUCUGAGUUAAUACCUCGGGAGGAUGACGGUACCUGAAGAAUAAGCACCGGCUAACUACGUGCCAGCAGCCGCGGUAAUACGUAGGGUGCAAGCGUUAAUCGGAAUUACUGGGCGUAAAGCGUGCGCAGGCGGUUUUGUAAGACAGAGGUGAAAUCCCCGGGCUCAACCUGGGAACUGCCUUUGUGACUGCAAGGCUUGAGUGCGGCAGAGGGGGAUGGAAUUCCGCGUGUAGCAGUGAAAUGCGUAGAUAUGCGGAGGAACACCGAUGGCGAAGGCAAUCCCCUGGGCCUGCACUGACGCUCAUGCACGAAAGCGUGGGGAGCAAACAGGAUUAGAUACCCUGGUAGUCCACGCCCUAAACGAUGUCAACUGGUUGUUGGGAAGGUUCCUUCUCAGUAACGUAGCUAACGCGUGAAGUUGACCGCCUGGGGAGUACGGCCGCAAGGUUG
rnacentral:rRNA from 1 species